rnacentral:rRNA from 1 species
UACAGAGGGUGCAAGCGUUAAUCGGAAUUACUGGGCGUAAAGCGUGCGUAGACGGUUACAUAAGUCGGGUGUGAAAUCCCCAGGCUCAACCUGGGAACUGCGUCCGAUACUGGAUGGCUUGAAUCCGGGAGAGGGAUGCAGAAUUCCAGGUGUAGCGGUGAAAUGCGUAGAUAUCUGGAGGAAUACCGGUGGCGAAGGCGGCAUCCUGGACCGGCAUUGACGCUGAGGAGCGAAAGCCAGGGGAGCAAACGGG